GUGCACCAAUGCAUAAUUAAUACUAUAUAUUGUUCCUUUUCUUUUUAUUUUAUGUUAUCGAAUUUUAAGUCCGUAGAUUAAUCAUUUACGUGAGUUGUUUUGUAAUUAGACCAUCUCCAUCGGCAAAUGGAAGGAAAGUUUCUCAAAGAAAAAAAAAUAUUAGUAUUUUAAUCUGAAAAUAUAUAUUAAUUAUUAUUUAAUAAUUGAACUAAUUAUGUUGUGACACAUGUCCAAAUUUAAUGAGAAUAGUUUCUCAAAAUUUCUCAGAAGAGAAACUCAGCUCUCUCUCUCCUACUUUUUUUUU
rnacentral:sRNA from 1 species